GGAGCGGUGGCCGAGCGGCUUAAGGCGACGGUCUUGAAAACCGUUGUGCCGGAAGGCACCGGGGGUUCGAAUCCCUCCCGCUCCG
rnacentral:tRNA from 1 species